rnacentral:rRNA from 1 species
GAGUCCUUGGGGGGGGGGAGUCUGCACCGCCUAGGGUAAAUAGGGAAAAUAUGUACCGGGUUUUUGGUGCCCGAAAAGAAGGGCAGCURUYACUASAGAUGGGCCUGCGGCGCAUUAGCUAGUUGGUGGGGUAACGGCCUACCAAGGCRACGAUGCGUAGCCGACCUGAGAGGGUGACCGGCCACACUGGGACUGAGACACGGCCCAGACUCCUACGGGAGGCAGCAGUAGGGAAUUUUCCACAAUGGACGAAAGUCUGAUGGAGCAACGCCGCGUGAACGAUGAAGGCUCUCGGGUCGUAAAGUUCUGUUGUUAGGGACGAACAAGUGCCGUUCGAAUAGGGCGGCACCUUGACGGUACCUAACGAGAAAGCCACGGCUAACUACGUGCCAGCAGCCGCGGUAAUACGUAGGUGGCAAGCGUUGUCCGGAAUUAUUGGGCGUAAAGCGCGCGCAGGCGGUUAUGUAAGUCUGAUGUUAAAGCCCGGGGCUCAACCUCGGUCCGCAUGAAACUGUGUAACUUGAGUGCAGAAGAGGAAAGUGGUAUUCCACGUGUAGCGGAAAUGCGUAGAGAUGUGGAGGAACACCAGGCGAAGGCGACUUCUCUGUAAC